GCAGCUGUGUGGUUUUCUGCAGAGUCCACUCUGUGGUCUGCAGACUCUGAGAUUAAGGAGAUGCAGUUUGUCAAAGAUCAGCUGUUCUUCUCUGGCCUCAGCUCUGAAGUCCAACCCCUCCCACCUGAAAGAGCUCUACCUGACUUUCAACCAUCUGCAGGCUCCAGAUGUGCAGCAGCUGGUUGAUCUCCAGCAGAGUCCAGACUGCAGCCUGCAGACUCUGAGGUGGAGCUGAGAGCAGAGAGGAGGCUGUUUGUCCUGAAGAUCCUCUUCAUGACUCCUCUUCCUCCUCCUCCUCCUCUCCUCAGAUUGUAUCAUCAAUAGAUGUCCAUGACAGUAUUAGAAUUUGAAAUGCUGUCUUACUGGCAAAUGUUCUUCACUCAGAACUUUUCACCUCAUUGAAUGUGACUCUGUGGAACCAUACAUACAUCUGACACGGGAACAGAUCCUUGUUUUUCAAAGACUGCUCUGACAAGAUUUUUUGAUUGACAACUGAUCCACAUCCAACUGUAUAACUGUUCCCAAAGUUUCUCAUUUGGACCAGAGAAAGCCACGCUCCAACUGAUGGUUUGGCUUUUAUUUAUUCCAUCACAGCAAUUAGAGAAAUCUUCUCAAAUCACCGGACAUGACCAACAACCAACACCAUGAAAAACUAAAGAAAAGACUAAUUGUAUUAAAGGGUAUUGUUUGUAGAGCAUCUGUGUAGUUUGCCACUGGAAAUGACAUCAGUUGUAUCAGAUCAUAGAUAGUAAAUACAAUGGAUGAUCCUUCGUGAUGUCACCUAUUUUGUUCUAAAAUCCCGUUCGAAUGAGUUCAGCAGGACAUCUCCACCUGGAACAUUUGAAACCGGAUGUAAAUGUGAUUGGACCAGCCUGUCACAUGAUGGCAUUACAUGGACAAAGGAGGCGCUGUGAUAGGGCAAUUUAGGAAAAAAUUUAACUCAUAAUAUAAAAUCAGCAGAUGUGCAGGGUGCAAUGUGGAUUGGGUGGCAGUCGACGGCAGGGUGCCCGGCGACCCAAUUCCCCUUACACAGAGACUGGCUCUAGGGACAUGAGAUGUCAUCUCGUUGUGGGGGAAGGAGCCCGAGCUUGUGAGGGAGGUUGAGAGGCACUGGCUAGAUAUAGUUGGGCUCACCUCCACACAUAGCCUGGGCUCUGGAACUCAACCUCUCGGGGGGGGGCUCGACUCGCAGGUCGAUGAUCAACUUUGUUGUUGUGUCAUCUGACCUCCAGCUGCCUGUUUUGGACACUCGGGUGAAGAGAGGGGCAGAGCUGUCGACCGAUCACCACCUGUUGGUGAGUUGGAUUCACUGGCAGAGGAGGAAA